ensembl:miRNA
CACUGUAGGUGGUGCCGGAGGAGUCAUUUCCCAUCACUAAUGGCUUCUCUUGCACACCCAG